CCUACGGGGAGCUGCAGUGGGGCAUAUUGCACAAUGGGGGAAACCCUGAUGCAGCGACGCCGCGUGAGUGAAGAAGUAAUUCGUUAUGUAAAGCUCUAUCAGCAGGGAAGAAAAUGACGGUACCUGAGUAAGAAGCCCCGGCUAACUACGUGCCAGCAGCCGCGGUAAUACGUAGGGGGCAAGCGUUAUCCGGAUUUACUGGGUGUAAAGGGAGCGUAGACGGCAGUGCAAGUCUGGAGUGAAAGGCGGGGGCGCAACCCCCGGACUGCUCUGGAAACUGUACGGCUGGAGUGCAGGAGAGGUAAGUGGAAUUCCUAGUGUAGCGGUGAAAUGCGUAGAUAUUAGGAGGAACACCAGUGGCGAAGGCGGCUUACUGGACUGUAACUGACGUUGAGGCUCGAAAGCGUGGGGAGCAAACAGGAUUAGAUACCCGGGUAGUC
rnacentral:rRNA from 1 species